CGAAUUUUUAUCCGAUUUUCGUGGGUUCAAGUUUUGAAUUUAAGCUAUUCGGCUAACUGCAUAAUCGAACAACUUAUAAAAAAAUUGCAAGUCUUAAAGGUUAACAUUAUAAUCUCUCUUGUAUGAGUCUGAUCUUUUAUGAGUUAUGGCUCGUCAUUCAUCUCUACCCUAAGUCCCUAACCUAAGGCCAAAACCUCAGUACUCCCCAAAUCGCUGCAUAAGGUCUUCCACAGCCUCGCCCUCCGCAGCCCGCCCUUCGCAUCCUCUACCCUUCUGAGUUCUGGCCUUCUACGAUCCCCAAAUCGUCGCCUAUGGUCCUCCGCCUUCCGCCUAGUUAGGCUCGUGCUCUUUCAAUUGUGAGCUGGUAAACCUUUGCUUUUCUGAAUUGGGUCUCAGUUUACUUCCUCUAUUUCUUAAGAGCAUUCAUCAUCUGGGUUUUUGCGUAUAUAGGGUCAUUGAGGAUUUGUUUUGUGAAUCAAACAAUGGAAGAAGAUGAAGAAAAUAGAUUUUUAUGCAAGUUUUAUAACAAGAUUUAGUGGAA
rnacentral:lncRNA from 1 species